rnacentral:rRNA from 1 species
UAGGGAAUCUUCGGCAAUGGACGAAAGUCUGACCGAGCAACGCCGCGUGAGUGAAGAAGGUUUUCGGAUCGUAAAACUCUGUUGUUAGAGAAGAACAAGGACGUUAGUAACUGAACGUCCCCUGACGGUAUCUAACCAGAAAGCUACGGCUAACUACGUGCCAGCAGCCGCGGUAAUACGUAGGUGGCAAGCGUUGUCCGGAUUUAUUGGGCGUAAAGCGAGCGCAGGCGGUUUCUUAAGUCUGAUGUGAAAGCCCCCGGCUCAACCGGGGAGGGUCAUUGGAAACUGGGAGACUUUAGUGCAGAAGAGGAGAGUUGAAGUCCAUGUGUAGCGGUGAAAGGCGUAGAUAUAUGGAGGAACACCAGUUGCGAAGGCGGCUCUCUGGUCUGUAACUGACGCUGAGGCUCGAAAGCGUGGGGCGCAAACAGG